UACAGUGGUGGCAAGCGUUGUUCGGAAUUACUGGGCGUAAAGGGCGCGUAGGCGGUUCGUCAAGUCCUGUGUGAAAUCCCCCGGCUCAACUGGGGAACUGCACAGGAAACUAGCGGGCUUGAGUUCGGGAGAGGGAAGCGGAAUUCCGGGUGUAGCGGUGAAAUGCGUAGAUAUCCGGAGGAACACCGGUGGCGAAGGCGGCUUCCUGGACCGACACUGACGCUGAGGCGCGAAAGCUAGGGGAGCAAACGGG
rnacentral:rRNA from 1 species